AUAUGCUCAGCCGUCACACUGAGGAGCAGGGACUUGAAGCUAGGUGACCAACCUUCUAGCUGGAGCUUCGUAUGUUUUCUCCAUCCAGUUUGACGCAAACAUGGUCACCAGAUUCCAGAUCAGGCAAUUCUCUAACUGAGUGAUGUCUGUUGUAAAAGUGUGUGUGUUUCACUACCAUGCUGGGCUCCGUGACAGUGUGUCUGCUAUUACCCGAUUUUUACCAGGAACAUAUUCGGAUAUUGGAUUAAAUAGCAUGAACCUAGUGAAAAGACAUCAGCAUCUUGGCGCAGCUUGAUCCAGGUCUUUUCAUUUGAUACGGGUUACAAGAUGUUUAUGGUCAAUUCUCAGUUUAAAAAAACCCAACCCACACAGAUAUCUAUAGAAGUUCUCAUAUGUCCAUACGCUUGCCAGGCAUUCCUUUUCAAUCUGCACAUGCCAUCUUCUGCUUCUGUAAGUGUAUAAGAGCAGAAUGCAAUUGGCUUCCACUCACGUCCAUGUAGCUGCAACAGUACACCACCAAGGCCAUAGCUACUUGCGUUAGCCUGACCAUUGUGAGUUUGUUCACACUGUAAAACUUUGAAUCUGGAGUAGUUGAGAUGAUUUCUUUUAUCCUUUUGAAGGCAAUCUCCUGAUCUGGCCCCCAUAGCCGGGAUGUAUUGAACUUAAUAGUUCAUUCAGUGGUUUUGUCACAGUAAAAAGGUCUUGCAAAUAUUGGCCAAGACAAUUUACCAUCCCCAGUAUGAGUCUCAGUUCUGGUACAUUUGUUGCUGCAUUCACUUCUCUAAUUGCUUUUAUUUUCUCAGGGCUUUGACUAAUUCCAUCUUUGCUUAUUAUCUGUUCCAAAAAUUUAAUUUGGUAUAAGCAAAAAAUACAUUUGAGUCCAGACUCACUGAUACAGCUAAGAACUUCAUUAAGGGUUUUGUCAUGUCACCGUGCCUCAGUGGGUCACAGCUGAGGCUACCAAAUUCAGGAUAGACUACUGAGAAAUAGGGCAGACUCACCCAAACUGGUUAUUCUAUCAGUAGUUUAUACCAAGCCAGUAACAAAAGUGAACUUCUGUCUCACCACACUGGUUAACAAGAAGGCAAAAAUGCAGGUUCCUUAGGCAUCCCAGCCCUUGGCUCACCACCCAGACACUAGACUUUAUGAUGAGUGGUUACUGAAAACCAAUUUAAUCUGUUAUAGGAACCAGCCAACUAGCUAGGUCAAUAUAUAACUCAGAUCUCACCCAAUAAUCAUGCUGAUGCCAAUCCUUUAGUAACUAAAAACUAAAGGUUUAUGAAUAAAAGAAAAGAAGAAAAGAGUUGUAAAUGAUUAAUAGAUCAUAUACAUACAAGUGAUUGCAAACUUCUUCUAUAAGGUUUGAAACCGAACUUUUAACGGGCGUUCCAGUCGAAAACUGGAUGUCUGGCAACCUUAUUUAGUUGCAAUAUGAAAAUGUGCAAACCGCUCUUUCCAAUUAAGCCAGUUUGAUGGUCUGCCAAACUGAAGCUCUCUGAGGCAUGAAACUUUGCCAUUUUGAUGAAAUUCUGCAAUUUCUGUGGUUUUUUUCUUCUGACACCACAUCAGGUCAGUCAGACAGAGACAGAGGCAAAAUGGAUGCUAGGCACAACAACAACUUUAUUGUAAGAAAGAAUGUAGAUUGUCUCCAGCACUCAGCAAAGAUGUGCAUCCGUGUUCUUCAGACAGUGCCACCUAAUGGCUAAACAUUACAGUGUAGUUUAAGCUUUCCAUCACGCAGGGCAUGUCUAGAAUUUGUCAUGUUCUUUAAAAGGCCAGAGCCAACACUGGCAUAUGUAAAUUGAAAAAAAAAUCACUAGGGUUGUAAAUGUUAACUCUGCAUUUAAUUAUAGAAUUAAAAUGAUAACUCUCCAAUGUUAAUAACUUGUAGUUGUUCUGUAAAAAAUUAUAAAACCUAAU